rnacentral:lncRNA from 12 species
AGCUUUCAGACAAACACAUUAGACUGGAUCAUAAUGGAAAAUAGAAUCUUCUAAAUCUGAAAUCACAAGUGUGCCAAGAAUUUAGGGACUGACUGUAUUUCUGGGAACCUCUCAGCUUGUGGUCAUUCUUCUGACCACCUUGGAUAUGACACCAGUAUCUUUCUAAAGGCCAUGAAUGCUCACAGGAAAUUCAGUCACUGAAGAUGAAUCAAAAGGAGCUGCACAAAUUCAAGGACUGCUUCCAUGUGCCCAAGGAAAAAGAGGGAUAGAUUUUUCUAGGAACCAUUCCCUCCUCCACCCUGCUACAAUCAUCUCUCUCUUUCAGGGAUCUGUUAUUCCCAGUCUCAGAGGUCAUUUAUGGGUGGUACAUCAUAUUUGCCUUUCAAGCUGCCUCAAGAGUACCCCCUCCACCAAAUAGUACUGUUUCAUUUAGACCUAUAAGGUACUACAUGACAUAUGAAAGCCCUCCUCAUAUCCACAUCUUCUCUAGAGUUUGAGUCUUAUUUGUACUUUUUCCUUUGAAUAUAUUUCACAGAAGAAAUGAAAGUGUAAUGACUAUUUGACACAUAAAUAUAUGGCUAUAUUUUCUGAUUUCUACUUUUUUGUAGCAAUCUCAUAUCUAUGGGGGAUCUAAUAGAUAGAUCUAUAGUAGCAAAUAAUUACUUUUGUACAUAUCUUCCAAUGUCAUAUUGUACACCGUGGCUUUUCCAAUUUUUUUCUGAGAAAAAUCUAAUGGUAAUGGGGGAAACUUCAAAAUUCAAAUUUUAUACUUUAUACAACUGCAGAUGAAAAGUUUGAUCAAAUUAUCACUCCUUUACUUCAACUCGUGGACUUCACUAACUUCUUAAGCUAACAAACGUUAACUACAAAUGGACAAAAAAAAAAGAGAUAAUGACAAGUGCAUUCUUCACUCAAGUCUGCAGUGUAACAGAAGGUCUGAUAGGUAGUCAGUGCUGAAUUUAUGCUUCAAGUUCAAAAGAACUAAUGUCUAAUCUAUAAAAUGAUAAAGAAGGGUAACUACAUGUCUAGUUUGGGGUUUGUGCUUAGCAGCAUGCAGUAAAUGUGUAGCAUGCACCAAUUUUCUUUAUGUAUACCACAUUCUCAGGCCUCCACACAUCAGGCUCAAAGUUCCCUGCUUCCCACACUCAAACAGCACUCCUUCAGCAGGCUCUCUUCUAAUUUCUUUUGCUCCUCUAGAUCUUCCUUUUAUCCUUUCUCUACAUCCCCUUAGUGCUUUAUUCAGGUUGCUGUUAUAGUACAGAUCACUUGUGAAUAUAAUUACAAGCAUUUGUAUAGCAACAUUAUAAUGUAAAUGAGAACAGGGACUGUGUCUUCUUAGUUUUCGUAUCUCCUAAAUGUCUUUCACAGACACACAACUAUUUUGGGGGGGGACAAUGAAUGAAUUAAUAAAUUAAUUGUUCAGAAAGCUAACA